rnacentral:rRNA from 1 species
UUUCAGUUUGCUUGCAACUGGAGAUGGCGACCGGCGCACGGGUGAGUAACACGUAUCCAACCUGCCGAUAACUCGGGGAUAGCCUUUCGAAAGAAAGAUUAAUACCCGAUGGCAUAAUUAGACCGCAUGGUCUUAUUAUUAAAGAAUUUCGGUUAUCGAUGGGGAUGCGUUCCAUUAGGCAGUUGGUGAGGUAACGGCUCACCAAACCUUCGAUGGAUAGGGGUUCUGAGAGGAAGGUCCCCCACAUUGGAACUGAGACACGGUCCAAACUCCUACGGGAGGCAGCAGUGAGGAAUAUUGGUCAAUGGGCGCAGGCCUGAACCAGCCAAGUAGCGUGAAGGAUGACUGCCCUAUGGGUUGUAAACUUCUUUUAUAUGGGAAUAAAGUUUUCCACGUGUGGAAUUUUGUAUGUACCAUAUGAAUAAGGAUCGGCUAACUCCGUGCCAGCAGCCGCGGUAAUACGGAGGAUCCGAGCGUUAUCCGGAUUUAUUGGGUUUAAAGGGAGCGUAGGUGGACAGUUAAGUCAGUUGUGAAAGUUUGCGGCUCAACCGUAAAAUUGCAGUUGAUACUGGCUGUCUUGAGUACAGUAGAGGUGGGCGGAAUUCGUGGUGUAGCGGUGAAAUGCUUAGAUAUCACGAAGAACUCCGAUUGCGAAGGCAGCUCACUGGACUGCAACUGACACUGAUGCUCGAAAGUGUGGGUAUCAAACAGGAUUAGAUACCCUGGUAGUCCACACAGUAAACGAUGAAUACUCGCUGUUUGCGAUAUACAGUAAGCGGCCAAGCGAAAGCAUUAAGUA